UUUCUCCAAACUUUCAACACUCAGCUCUCAUUAUUCCCACUCUCUACUGCUCUCAAAUUCUCAAUUUCUCCAGUCUUUGAACUGACCCAAUGCCGCAAAAAAAUGGGUUCUUGUAAAUAUUUCUUCAAUUUCAAGGAUGUGAUUAGACUUAAAGGAUUUUGGAAGGAAUCAGUAUUCACGAUCGCAAUUUCUUUGUAUAAUUUAAGGUGGUGUCUCCACACUCAUAGGUCACAGUACCUAACCACACAGUAAGAGCAUACCGCGAUCAACUAGAUCGCGCUUCGGAAGGGAGAUUUGUCUUCACUCCCUAGGAUGACUUUUUGAACCACCUCCCGUUGUACUGCAAGGCCAGGGCUAGUAUAUGGACAGCUCAUGUGCCGCUCAUUUUCUACCACGUCAUUGAGCACCAUUACCCAGAGCGAUUUUGCAGGCAGUUUCGUGCCUUGCAAGAUGUACCUAGCUCCGCCGGUCCAGUACUCGCAACAAUUGCACGACAUGGACCAGCGUGGGAAAACAGGCACCGACUGGGCCCUAAAACAUGACCAGUAUGUAACUAACUAGAACGGGCGUCAGUGACAUCUAGUGGAUAUGAAUUUGACUGCUGGUCCACAGGCCACUGACAACUACCGCGCUUGGUACUACUUGCAUGGUCAUCGAGUCAUCGGUAACCCCAUGCAUCAGCACAAUGUGGGUUAUGUGCAGUGUGCAUCAUCACUAAACCAGGCGAUGCAUGCUCUUCACCAGAUGAACAUCCGCGGGACUGCAGCUGUCAACAAUCCCGAUGAGGACCACGCUGCAGCCUUAAUGGAAUUGAAUGAUAUCUCGCAGCUGGCAUUGAUGGGCAGCGACUAUGAGUACUUGAUGUACAUCACGCCUGAAGUUCUACAAAAUGCUCCCAUGCCGGAUGAGCCAAUACCCCCUCAACCCAGGGAUGCACGCCGACAUAGGGAACACUUGCGCGGUGGUCCACGAAGGGGUGGUCGGGGUAGACGCGCAAUAAACAUUGCGCUGCAAGAGCAAAUGGCUCAUGCGGCUCAACAAUAGCAUCAAGCACCGGCAGCCGAAGCGGAUGAGGCUGAUAAUGAUGGGGAUGAUGAUGGGGAUGACGGUCACAACAUUGAUGAGCACGGUGCAUUAGCUAUUGUG